rnacentral:lncRNA from 10 species
GCCACAGUCAAAGAUGGAGAAUCCAUGGUGCCACUUUCCCGGUGAUCCCGGUGGGGGAAGGGGUUGCCGCCCGGCAGAGAUUCAGUCCCGAAUCCCGACAGCGAAGAGACUUGUAUGCCACCUGCAGGCCGGGGAGCGGGGCGCGCUGGGGCUGCACCACCCCGAACUUUGUAACAAUCUAGAGCACCACAGAGUGUUUCCAGGUCGGCACAAAAGCGAACGGGACAGGGCGCCCUGGGCGGCGGCAGCUUGGCCGGCCCGCUGCCUAGCGCGCCCCCGAGGGGCGGUAAUGGAACGUACCUUUGGCUGAAGAAAGAGUGCUCCCGGCCAGCGCGGGGUCGCCUAGGGGGUUCCGCGCUGCCUAAUGCAAAGGAUGGAAAAGUUACAGAAGCAGGUCCUGACACCACCUAUGUCUAGGUCUUUAGAAACUCCAUUGAUUGUUUGCAUUAGAAGAUAAUGAAUGGGAUUCUUAUUAUUUUCUUUUUUAAGACAGGGCCUUGCUCUGUUGCCCUGGCUGGAGUGCAGUGGAGCGAUCACCGCUCACUGCAGCCUUGACUUCCUGGGCUCAAGAGAUCCUCCCACCUCAGCCUUCCGAGUAGCUGGGAUUACAGGUGCACACAAUCACACUCAACUAAUUUUUCUUUCUUUCUUUUCUUUUCUUUUUCCUUUGGUAGAGAUGGGUUUCAGCAGCCCAGGCUGGUCUCGAACUCCUGGACUCAAGUGAUUGGCCCUCCUCGGCCUCCCAAAGUCCUGGGAUUACAAGCGUGAGCCACCAUGCUCAGUUGGCGGGGGAUUAUCUGUGAUCCAAUGAAGUUGGACUAGAGAUGUGAAGCCUUAGAAAACGGUGGAUUGAAAAAAGAAUUUUAGUCUCCUCCAGAGAUUAUAUUUUGUGUGUUCAUUGCUCUCAAAAACAUGAAAAUAAAGAGUAUUUUAUAUUGUGAUUUGUAGGACAAUAGCAUGCUUGUAUAUUGCUGCCCAGAAUUUAAUGCUCCAAUAUUUAUUUAUUUAUUUAUUUAUUUAUGAGACAGAGUCUUGCCCUGACAGGCUGGUGCAGUCUCGGCUCACUGCAACUUCCGCCUCCUGGGUUCAAGUGAUUCUCCUCUUUCAGCUUCCCAAGUAACUGGGACUACAGGUGUGCCACCAUGCUAAGCUAAUUUUUGUAUUUAGUAGAGACGGUGUUGCACCAUGUUGGCCAGGUUGGUCUCGAACUCCUGACCUCAAGUGAUCCGCCUGCCUCGGCCUCCCAAAGUGCUGGAAUUACAGGCGUGAGCCACCGUGCCCAGCCUCCAAAAUUUAUUUUAAAAAAUUAUCUCUAACAUUGAAUUAGUACAUUAUUCUUUGAAGAUAAACUGAUCUACGUGGUACUACUCAAGGUGCACUUUGGACACCAGAGGGCACUGGUAUUUUUCCCGAGAGAAAAGAAAAAAGCAUACACCUUGUCAACUUGGUUUUUGAGGUGGCUUAAGGGAUAUUGGCAGCCACCUCCAUUUAUUCCUGUAGAACUGUUUAGAGAGGUAUAUGAGCUUUUUGAAGGGGGUCUGACCCUCCACACCUGUGGGUAUUUCUCAUCAGGUGGAGCCGAGAGACUGAGAAAAGAAAUAAGACACAGAGACAAAGUAUAUAGAAAGAACAGUGGGCCCAGGAGACUGGCGCUCAAUGUGCAAGGACCCGCACCAGCGCUGGUCUCUGAGUUCCCUCAGUAUUUAUUGAUCACUAUUUUUACUAUCUUGGCGAGGGGAGUGUGGCAGGGCAACAGGGUGAUGGUGGGGAGAAGGUCAGCAGGAAACAUGUGAGCAAAGGAAUCUGUAUCAUGAAUAAGUUCAAGGAAAGGUACUACGCCUGGAUGUACACAUAGGCUAGAUUUAUGUUUCACUUUACACAAACAUCUCAGUGUAGCAAAGAGUAACAGAGCAGUAUUGCUGCCAGCAUAUCUCGCCUCCAGCCACAGGGCGGUUUUCUCCUAUCUCAGAAUAGAACGAAUGGUCAGCUUUACACUGAGACAUUCCAUUCCCAGGGACGAGCAGGAGACAGAAACCUUCCUCUUAACUGCAAAGAGGCCUCCCUCUUUCACUACUCCUCCUCAGCACAGACCCUUCACGGGUGUCAGGCUGGGGGAUGUAAGGCCUUUCCUUUCCCACAAGGCCAUAUCUCAGGCUGUCUCAGUUGCGGGAAAGCUUGGACAAUACCCAGGCUUUCUUGGGCAGAGGUCCCUGCGGCUUUCCACAGUGCAUUGUGUCCCUGGUUAACAGAGAAUGGAGAAUGGUGAUGACUUUUACUAGGCAUACUGCCUGCAAACAUACUGUUAAUAAGGCACAUCCUGCACAGCCCCAAAUCCAUUAAACCUUGAUUCAAUACAGCACAUGUUUCUGUGAGCACAGGGUUGGGGCUAAAGUUACAGAUUAACAGCAUCUCAAAGCAGAAUAAUUGUUCUUAGUACAGAUCACAAUGGACUUUCUUAUGUCUUCCAUUUCUACAUAGACACAGUAACAAUCUGAUCUCCCUUUCUUUUCUCCACUCUUAAUUUUCAUCUUGAAUCUGAUGCCCUAAGACACCUGAGACUGUAAUUACUUUAUAUUAUAUCAGGUUCACAUUGCUUAUUACCCCUUUCUCCCUACCGAAAGUAAGCAUUCAUAUCCUUUCUUGUUCCCAAAAUAAUGUAGGGCAGCCAUAAAAACACAUCAAAUAUAGCACAAUAAAAACAUUGACUAUAAUUGAGAAAAAUAAGGUUAAAAAAUGAAUAGCUAUAGGAUGUUAUAUAGAACCAAGGCAAAUUCAAUCAUCAAACAUGUUAUAUCAAAUCCUAAACACUUGCUAGAGAUGGCU